CCGCAAGAAGGCCCUUUGCCUCAGCUUCUAAAGGAGUAGACGAAUUUGGAAGUAUAGAAGAUCCCCAAUAUUUAGAAUUACCCUCAUUAUCUCGGAUUAUCCAGCCACACGAAAAUCUGGAAGUGUAAGGAUCAAAAGCCGCAUCGACAUUACACUUAACAAAUGGAAAUUUUGGUCGACUCCAAUUAAGAGAAGAUGAACUUUUCGCUAUUGAAGAUAUGUUCAUGGAUUGCUUCGAUGUAGU
rnacentral:lncRNA from 1 species